GUUUUGCGGAGAGAGACAGAGCGCAGGAAAGCGCCUGCUAGGUAGAAGCUGUGGACGUCGUUCUCAGCGGGGCGGAUCCUGUGAGGAAAAUGGAAGUUUUCUCAUUUUUUUAAGUUUGGGCUAAGCUUUCAUUUUACCAGCGCAGUAAGCUAAGCUGUGAUUGGUUGCUAUGGGCGAUAGAGAGAAUAUUACUUUUUUAGGCUGAAAUACCAGGGAACAGUAAGACAUCAAGAGCCAUAACUCAUUAUUUCCAGGAUGUGUUAAAGUUUCAUGUUUGAAGAAGAUACAAAAAAGUUAACACAAGUGAGGGAGGAGUUACAAUAAUGAGCCAAGGAGACAGAAGAGUUUGAAAGAGAUGGUGGAUAUAGGAAGAACUCACAUGAAAUUUCUUGAUAAAUUGAAGUCACCUUACCUUUGAAACAAAAGUCUUUAUAGAAGAACACAAGCAACAGCAGGAUGGUUUGUUGCAGACCUUUGAGACCUCCUUCCAAUCAGAUCCCAGGGGAGCUAAAAUGGUAUACCUCUGAGGUUCAAAAAAGUCUUUGGACCAGAAUAGGGCCCUUUAUCUGCCAACAUAUCAAACAUAUAUAAUCAGAUAUUGAUCUAAAAAAUCAUGCUCUCCUUUUGUAUGUAGAGGAAAUUAAAUUAGUACCUGCUGAAGAUCUAAAAAUGGUGUUCCUCAAGAUGAUGACAGGGUACCGCAGGCAAUGCCAAAGUUCAAAGACAUUUAUAUGGACACCAAACUGAUUUAACAUUCUCUGUAAUGCAUGGAGAAAAAAGAGAGAAAGAUCUGCUUGCCAAACGGAAUGCAUUGGAGACGAUCUCAUGUGGCGAGACCUUGCAUCAAGAAGUCAGGUUACGGUUUCAAAUUCAUCUCAUCUUUGACUUAAAAGAAGUGGAAUGCAUUUUGUUUCAUUUAAAAAAAAAUAGUUUUUUUUAUCACACCAAAACUUUUCAUAGUGCUUGCUCACAUGGCUAGACAUAAUACCCUCUGGCUCAGAUAUUUUUCUUAUUUCUUUUGUGCCUGAAUUUCAUGAUGUGCCUCGUUUUCACCGAACACAAAUGGAUAGCACGAUACUGCUUUUAUUUUUUUAUAUUAUUAUUUUACCAGUUCGGUAGGGUUGAAAUUUUAGUGAAAGUUAAAAGAGUUUAUUUAAUGUAAGUAAAAUUUAUUUUAGCACGCUCCUUUUGUGACAACAUGUACUAGUUUAGAACCAUCUGUUGCUGGAGAAAUCUAAGCACUAGGUGCAAAGACUUCGCAAACUUAAUGCAAAGACGGAAAGCCUUUUUCUUUGAGAAGGUAAUGCUGUAAGUGUAAUGUUAUGCGGUAAGUACAACUUUAACUCAUCCGAUUUUGAACCUAGAAGGUAUUUUUCAAUAUUGUUAGGACAGACGUGUCUAUUUAAUUUGCAUGAUAAAUAUUAGACUUACCGUAUCACAGUUUUGAAAGUAUUAUUUUCUUGAAUAACACUGAAAUUACUUUAGGGCGCUUUUAUUUGAUGGGUGUCUUUUAGGAAAACUCUGUUUAAGUGAAGUUUUAACCCAGAAUGUACAGGUUUUCUUCGUACUGUUUCUUCGUACUGAAAAUCUAGAUAGAUCAGUGUCUGUCAUUGUGUUUCUUACAAAAAUCUUAAGAAUCUGAAGUAUCGAUUUUUAAACCUAUUCUGUCUUAUAUCUUUUUCUUGGACAGUCACAGUUUGAUAUAUAUGGCAAGGUAAAAGUAACACAUUGCAAUAAGCCAACCUAACACUAUUCAGAUUAUGUUCUACAUUUUAAUAGUACAUAAUUUUUAUUGACUUACUAUAUAACUGAUUUACUAUACCUGUGUUUAGCAGAUUUCAUAAGACUUGGUGUUGUUUUUAUGUUAUGUAGCUGUCUCUUCUGGACAAUCGUAUUUUACAUUAAAUAAAUCAGGCAGUAGGAGGAUUUUAAAGUAACAGAUAAUUUCAGUGACACUCGACAUUAUGAGAAAGUUUGGGAUCUUAUUGUUAGUCUACAUA